CAGGUACCAGUUUUGGUGUACCAGAACAAGUGUCCCACGCAGAAAUUUUGUUAUAGUUAAGUAUUGAGGUAUAUAACUGCUUCAUGUGGACUGAAAAAAUAAAUGAAUGUAAAUUCUAGGCUAUUGUACUACACAAGUAAGUAGUUGCAUACACAGAGAGGGGAUUUCCUUCACAUAUAGGUCCAAUCAGAUGUCAAAAUUGUGGUCUCCUCACUUGACGGCAUCCAAUCAAAGUAGGGGAAAUAUUCAUUUUUUUGUAAACAAAAAUAUCUUGAGAUUUUGAUGGUAAGGAUAGGUUCGGACAAGGCUCUAAUUCAUUGAAUAUCCUUUAUCUCUUGAAUUUUGCCUAUAAUUCUUGUCGGCUUUUAGCAGGAUUCUGCAGCUCUACUACAUAGUUGAUACAGAAGGACAGGCUACAGAAAUAAGAAAACUGGCCUCUCUCAUCAGCAAUAGUGUGGCAAUUCUAAAAUUUCAACAUGCGGCCUACACAGCUAGCUCAUGUGGAGAAGAGAUAUGGGACUGGUUGCGAAUAAAUGUACACUUAGUUUAGUGCAUCAUGGAUCUACAAAGUGAAAUAUAUGUACCAAAAAUAUUAGUUUAUUCAUAACUAAGCCUUUUUCAGCACUGAAGUCAAUAGAACAAUGAUAGUGACAAGAAUUGAGACUAUUUAAUACCUCAAACUAUGGGAAAAUACUUCUUGAGAUCAGUUGUAAGUGGUUUUAUAUCAUGCAUGAAACAAUAAACUAAAGUAGUUUCAUAUACUGUUGGAUAAUUCAUACACUGUACCAGAAAACUCACACAAUAAAAGUUAUUAAAUAUGAACACAAUCAUUUUUUUCCAAUUAUUUUGCAUUCAAAGUAGUAUGACGGCAAAAGACACAAAUAUUGCUAUAAUAAAUUUGGUCUUACAAAACCUAUUAAUGUUUUUUUUUGUGCUGUAACCAUAUGAAAUGCAUGUAUUUUUAAUGGUAAAUGAUUAUAGAACUCAAUCAGACUAAACAAAUGUAAAUAAAUUGUUUUCAAUGAGUGGUUAAAGGUGGCAGGUACCAGUUUUGGUGUACCAGAACAAGUGUCCCACGCAGAAAUUUUGUUAUAGUUAAGUAUUGAGGUAUAUAACUGCUUCAUGUGGACUGAAAAAAUAAAUGAAUGUAAAUUCUAGGCUAUUGUACUACACAAGUAAGUAGUUGCAUACACAGAGAGGGGAUUUCCUUCACAUAUAGGUCCAAUCAGAUGUCAAAAUUGUGGUCUCCUCACUUGACGGCAUCCAAUCAAAGUAGGGGAAAUAUUCAUUUUUUUGUAAACAAAAAUAUCUUGAGAUUUUGAUGGUAAGGAUAGGUUCGGACAAGGCUCUAAUUCAUUGAAUAUCCUUUAUCUCUUGAAUUUUGCCUAUAAUUCUUGUCGGCUUUUAGCAGGAUUCUGCAGCUCUACUACAUAGUUGAUACAGAAGGACAGGCUACAGAAAUAAGAAAACUGGCCUCUCUCAUCAGCAAUAGUGUGGCAAUUCUAAAAUUUCAACAUGCGGCCUACACAGCUAGCUCAUGUGGAGAAGAGAUAUGGGACUGGUUGCGAAUAAAUGUACACUUAGUUUAGUGCAUCAUGGAUCUACAAAGUGAAAUAUAUGUACCAAAAAUAUUAGUUUAUUCAUAACUAAGCCUUUUUCAGCACUGAAGUCAAAAGAACAAUGAUAGUGACAAGAAUUGAGACUAUUUAAUACCUCAAACUAUGGGAAAAUACUUCUUGAGAUCAGUUCUCUACUACAUAGUUGAUACAGAAGGACAGGCUACAGAAAUAAGAAAACUGGCCUCUCUCAUCAGCAAUAGUGUGGCAAUUCUAAAAUUUCAACAUGCGGCCUACACAGCUAGCUCAUGUGGAGAAGAGAUAUGGGACUGGUUGCGAAUAAAUGUACACUUAGUUUAGUGCAUCAUGGAUCUACAAAGUGAAAUAUAUGUACCAAAAAUAUUAGUUUAUUCAUAACUAAGCCUUUUUCAGCACUGAAGUCAAUAGAACAAUGAUAGUGACAAGAAUUGAGACUAUUUAAUACCUCAAACUAUGGGAAAAUACUUCUUGAGAUCAGUUCUCUACUACAUAGUUGAUACAGAAGGACAGGCUACAGAAAUAAGAAAACUGGCCUCUCUCAUCAGCAAUAGUGUGGCAAUUCUAAAAUUUCAACAUGCGGCCUACACAGCUAGCUCAUGUGGAGAAGAGAUAUGGGACUGGUUGCGAAUAAAUGUACACUUAGUUUAGUGCAUCAUGGAUCUACAAAGUGAAAUAUAUGUACCAAAAAUAUUAGUUUAUUCAUAACUAAGCCUUUUUCAGCACUGAAGUCAAUAGAACAAUGAUAGUGACAAGAAUUGAGACUAUUUAAUACCUCAAACUAUGGGAAAAUACUUCUUGAGAUCAGUUCUCUACUACAUAGUUGAUACAGAAGGACAGGCUACAGAAAUAAGAAAACUGGCCUCUCUCAUCAGCAAUAGUGUGGCAAUUCUAAAAUUUCAACAUGCGGCCUACACAGCUAGCUCAUGUGGAGAAGAGAUAUGGGACUGGUUGCGAAUAAAUGUACACUUAGUUUAGUGCAUCAUGGAUCUACAAAGUGAAAUAUAUGUACCAAAAAUAUUAGUUUAUUCAUAACUAAGCCUUUUUCAGCACUGAAGUCAAUAGAACAAUGAUAGUGACAAGAAUUGAGACUAUUUAAUACCUCAAACUAUGGGAAAAUACUUCUUGAGAUCAGUUGUAAGUGGUUUUAUAUCAUGCAUGAAACAAUAAACUAAAGUAGUUUCAUAUACUGUUGGAUAAUUCAUACACUGUACCAGAAAACUCACACAAUAAAAGUUAUUAAAUAUGAACACAAUCAUUUUUUUCCAAUUAUUUUGCAUUCAAAGUAGUAUGACGGCAAAAGACACAAAUAUUGCUAUAAUAAAUUUGGUCUUACAAAACCUAUUAAUGUUUUUUUUUGUGCUGUAACCAUAUGAAAUGCAUGUAUUUUUAAUGGUAAAUGAUUAUAGAACUCAAUCAGACUAAACAAAUGUAAAUAAAUUGUUUUCAAUGAGUGGUUAAAGGUGGCAGGUACCAGUUUUGGUGUACCAGAACAAGUGUCCCACGCAGAAAUUUUGUUAUAGUUAAGUAUUGAGGUAUAUAACUGCUUCAUGUGGACUGAAAAAAUAAAUGAAUGUAAAUUCUAGGCUAUUGUACUACACAAGUAAGUAGUUGCAUACACAGAGAGGGGAUUUCCUUCACAUAUAGGUCCAAUCAGAUGUCAAAAUUGUGGUCUCCUCACUUGACGGCAUCCAAUCAAAGUAGGGGAAAUAUUCAUUUUUUUGUAAACAAAAAUAUCUUGAGAUUUUGAUGGUAAGGAUAGGUUCGGACAAGGCUCUAAUUCAUUGAAUAUCCUUUAUCUCUUGAAUUUUGCCUAUAAUUCUUGUCGGCUUUUAGCAGGAUUCUGCAGGUGAGCAUUAGAUUGGUAUCAGAGCAUCACAUUUUUUGCCUUAUUUGCAAUGCAUUUAUAAAUUUUAAAAUCUCCAUGCUGG